AUUUUAUGGCGGCCUCGAUGGAAACAGGCAUUGGAAUUUCUGUUAUUUUUAGUCGAUUCAAGCCACGUCUAAUAUAAGCCUACUGCUGCUAAACAGACCCAUAUUAAAAAUUACCACCAAAGCUGCGGGAUUUGAAAAGAUAUAUUGCUGUGUGGCAGUCGAUUUCCUAAUCAUGUGCUGAGUUACUCGUGCGUUGAUAAAAUUCCAGAGAACGUUUCCUGUUGUGCGCGAAGAACUAAAAAAGAAAAAAAUACAAGUGUAUGCAUGUUCUUUAAUUGAGUUGAAUUUUGUUGGAAAGGCUUUGUAACACGAAGCAGACGAUCUAACAUCCGGGACAUGUAGAAUGGGAUAUGGACAAGCAUAAUCUGGAAGUUGCGUACAUUGACAGUGAACAUUGAUUGUAAUAUUGUUUGUGUGUGACCCUGUUGUUCCAUCACCUGGUAUCAUGUAUCUUCCACCUUCAAAGAUCCGGUAUACUGGAUGUGAAGAGGUACUUGACUCAUCACAAAUGAAACCCGACCCCACUACCGUUGAAAAUUACAAGAAAAUGCAGAAAAGAGGUGAAUAUCCCCACCUCCAAGUGGUAGAAAAGAGUGGCUGUUUCUUUACAUUAAACAAUACGAAACUGUGUCUAUAUAAAACAUUGGAGAAAGAAGGUAUAUGUAAAUUGGUACGAGUAGAAAAGGUACCUCUAUCUAGUGUACCGGAAGGUGUAGAAACAUUGAUGAUAUUGCCACCAGAACAUAAUAAAAAAGUAGAAACAUAUGUGUGUACUAGUGGGGAUAUGGAAACACAGAUAGAACAAGCUGGUACAGAUAGCGACAGUGAGGAUUCAGAUGGUGAUUUAUCGGACAGUAUUUGUGAUUGGAGUGAGGAUGUUAAAGAAAGUUCCGACACUGAUGAAGAUAAGUCUGAAGAUGAAACGGUUGGGUUGCUUUAAGAUGAUUAUUAAUCCUCCCCUCAGAUUUUGUGAAUUACGAAAUGUAUCGAAAGCUUCCUUAUACAUAUAUAUUUGCAAUAUACGAAUGAAUUAUGUUAUAAACAUCGUACAUUUUGUUUUAAUACAAGGACUUUACUUUGUAAUUAACCAUCACACAAGAUUAUCAUAAGUAACUGAUUAUUUAAAUUUCGAUUUAACAUCAGCAAAUCAACAAGUAUUCAUAAUAAAAUGAAAUAAAAUAUAACCAAUAAACUGUGUGUAUGAUAUGGACAUCCAUACCAACAAUUUGUGAAAGUGGCCCAACGUCAUGAUUAUGUGAAGUGAUUCGACAACUGAAAACCAGUGUUUUUUGAUAUAUCAGAAACAGGAAUAUAUCAUGACAAGAGUUAAUGCCCCUGUUUUGAUGUGAUAAUGUGAUGUGACAAACUGUUGGUAAACAAAAUGACUUUACAUAAACACUGGUUCAUUUUUAAACAGAGACACACAUCAUUUCCAUUACAAUAGUGCAUAAUUAAUUAACUAAUUAUGUGAAUUUUUGCUCGAUACCAUAGCUGAAAAUGUUCAUGGAUUAAGCUACAUUCUACCUAGUCUAACUUUUGUGCCAAAAUAGUAGUAUUAUAUUCCUUUUAACAAGCUAGUCUGUUUUCAUCUAACGAACUUGUUUUAUGUUUCUAUGUAACGAAGUUGUUUUUGUGUACAUGCUUAUCACGGUAGUGAAUUUUGUUUUGGUCCUAAUUUUAUUGUAAUUUAAUUUCAUAGACAUUUUAAAUUUUCAAGAUAUUCAGCAAAGUGUUUAACAAAAUAACUAUCGACACAAA